AGGUAAGCUACUAAGAGCGAAUGGUGGAUGCCUUGACUGGUAGAGGCGAUGAAGGACGUACUAGACUGCGAUAAGCUAGGUGGAGCUGUCAAGAAGCUUUGAUGCCUAGAUUUCCGAAUGGGGCAACCCAAUGUAUAGAGAUAUACAUUACCAUAAUGGAGCGAACGAGGGGAAUUGAAACAUCUUAGUACCCUCAGGAAAAGAAAUCAAAAGAGAUUGCGUCAGUAGCGGCGAGCGAAAGCGCAAGAGGGCAAACCCAGUGCUUGCACUGGGGGUUGUAGGACUGCAAUGUGCAAUAGGAAAGGUUAGCAGAACACUCUGGAAAGUGUAGCCAUAGAGGGUGAUAGUCCCGUAUGCGAAAACCUAACCUUAGCUAGCAGUAUCCUGAGUAGGGCGGAACACGAGAAAUUCUGUCUGAAGCUGGGUAGACCACUAUCCAACCCUAAAUACUACUACCAGAUCGAUAGCGAACAAGUACCGUGAGGGAAAGGUGAAAAGAACGGCGGUGAGCCGAGUGAAAUAGAACCUGAAACCAUUUGCUUACAAUCAUUCAGAGCCCUAUGGAGCAAUCCAGGGUGAUGGACUGCCUUUUGCAUAAUGAGCCUGCGAGUUGUGGUGUCUGGCAAGGUUAAGCUAACGCGAAGCCGUAGCGAAAGCGAGUCUGAAUAGGGCGCUAAGUCAGAUGCUGCAGACCCGAAACGAAGUGAUCUAUCCAUGAGCAGGUUGAAGCUAGUGUAAGAACUAGUGGAGGACCGAACCCGCUAGCGUUGAAAAGCUAUGGGAUGACUUGUGGAUAGGGGUGAAAGGCCAAUCAAACUUCGUGAUAGCUGGUUCUCUCCGAAAUAUAUUUAGGUAUAGCGUUGUGUCGUAAUAUAAGGGGGUAGAGCACUGAAUGGGCUAGGGCAUACACCAAUGUACCAAACCCUAUCAAACUCCGAAUACCUUAUAUGUAAUCACAGCAGUCAGGCGGCGAGUGAUAAAAUCCGUCGUCAAGAGGGAAACAACCCAGACUACCCGCUAAGGUCCCCAAAUCUUACUUAAGUGGAAAACGAUGUGAAGUUACUCAAACAACCAGGAGGUUGGCUUAGAAGCAGCCAUCCUUUAAAGAAAGCGUAAUAGCUCACUGGUCUAGUGAUUUUGCGCGGAAAAUAUAACGGGGCUAAAGUAAGUACCGAAGCGGUAGGCUUGUGCUUA
rnacentral:rRNA from 1 species